rnacentral:rRNA from 1 species
UACAGAGGGUGCGAGCGUUAAUCGGAAUUACUGGGCGUAAAGCGCACGUAGGCGGCUUUGUAAGUUAGAGGUGAAAGCCCAGGGCUUAACCCUGGAAUUGCCUUUAAGACUGCAUCGCUAGAAUUGUGGAGAGGUGAGUGGAAUUCCGAGUGUAGAGGUGAAAUUCGUAGAUAUUCGGAAGAACACCAGUGGCGAAGGCGACUCACUGGACACAUAUUGACGCUGAGGUGCGAAAGCGUGGGGAGCAAACAGG